rnacentral:rRNA from 1 species
UACGUAGGUGGCAAGCGUUGUCCGGAUUUAUUGGGUUUAAAGGGUGCGUAGGCGGCCUUGUAAGUCAGUGCUGAAAUACCCCGGCUUAACCGGGGGGUGGCAUUGAUACUGGCAGGGCUUGAGUACAGUAUGAGGUAGGCGGAAUUGACGGUGUAGCGGUGAAAUGCAUAGAUAUCGAUCAAGAACACCGAUAGCGAAGGCAGCUUACUGGGCUGUAACUGACGCUGAUGCACGAAAGUGUGGGGAU